UACAGAGACCUCAAGCGUUAUCCGGAAUCAUUGGGCGUAAAGCGUACCGAUAGGUUGUUUAUUAAGUCUUAGGUAAAAGCCGGAAGCUCAACUUCCGCGUUUGCUUAAGAUACUAAUAGACUAGAGGGGCAAAGAGGUGCUUGGAACGAACGGUGUAGUAGUGAAAUGCGUUGAUAUCGUUCGGAACACCGAAAGCGAAGGCAGAGCACUGGGUGCCACCUGACACUGCUAGGACGAAAGCGUGGGGAGCGAAUGGG
rnacentral:rRNA from 1 species